UACGAAGGGGGCUAGCGUUGUUCGGAAUUACUGGGCGUAAAGCGCACGUAGGCGGAUUGUUAAGUCAGAGGUGAAAUCCCGGAGCUCAACUUCGGAACUGCCUUUGAUACUGGCAAUCUAGAGUCCGGAAGAGGUUAGUGGAAUUCCCAGUGUAGAGGUGAAAUUCGUAGAUAUUGGGAAGAACACCAGUGGCGAAGGCGGCUAACUGGUCCGGUACUGACGCUGAGGUGCGAAAGCAUGGGGAGCAAACAGG
rnacentral:rRNA from 1 species